rnacentral:rRNA from 1 species
UACGUAGGGUGCGAGCGUUAAUCGGAAUUACUGGGCGUAAAGAGUGCGCAGGCGGUCUUGCAAGACAGGUGUGAAAUCCCCGGGCUUAACCUGGGAAUUGCAUUUGUGACUGCACGGCUAGAGUGUGUCAGAGGGGGGUAGAAUUCCACGUGUAGCAGUGAAAUGCGUAGAUAUGUGGAGGAAUACCGAUGGCGAAGGCAGCCCCCUGGGAUAACACUGACGCUCAUGCACGAAAGCGUGGGGAGCAAACAGG